rnacentral:rRNA from 1 species
GACGAACGCUGGCGGCGUGCUUAACACAUGCAAGUCGAACGGAAAGGCCCUGCUUUUGUGGGGUGCUCGAGUGGCGAACGGGUGAGUAACACGUGAGUAACCUGCCCUUGACUUUGGGAUAACUUCAGGAAACUGGGGCUAAUACCGGAUAGGAGCUCCUGCUGCAUGGUGGGGGUUGGAAAGUUUCGGCGGUUGGGGAUGGACUCGCGGCUUAUCAGCUUGUUGGUGGGGUAGUGGCUUACCAAGGCUUUGACGGGUAGCCGGCCUGAGAGGGUGACCGGCCACAUUGGGACUGAAAUACGGCCCAGACUCCUACGGGAGGCAGCAGUGGGGAAUAUUGCACAAUGGGCGGAAGCCUGAUGCAGCAACGCCGCGUGCGGGAUGACGGCCUUCGGGUUGUAAACCGCGUUCGCCUGUGACGAAGCGUGAGUGACGGUAAUGGGUAAAGAAGCACCGGCUAACUACGUG